GAGCAGCCACCGCCACCGUUUCACCUCAGCCGCCCGCCAUGACGACCGCGUCCCCCUCGCAGGUGCGCCAGAACUACCACCGAUCAACCUGGAGCUCUACGCCUCCUUCGUCUACCUGUCCAUGUCGUACUAUUUCGAACGCGAUGAUGUGGCUUUGAAGAACUUUGCCAAAUACUUUCUUCACCAAUCUUGUGAGGAGAGGGAACAUGCUGAGAAACUGAUGAAGCUGCAGAACCAACGGGGUGGCCGAAUCUUCCUUCAGGAUAUCAAGAAACCAGACCGUGAUGACUGGGAGAAUGGGCUGAAUGCAAUGGAAUGUGCGCUACACUUGGAAAAAAGUGUGAAUCAGUCACUCCUGGAACUGCACAAACUGGCCACUGAGAAAAAUGACCCCCAUUUGUGUGACUUCAUUGAGACUCAUUAUCUGAAUGAGCAGGUGAAAUCCAUUAAAGAAUUGGGUGACCAUGUAACCAACUUGUGCACGAUGGGGCCCCCGAAUCUGGCAUGGCACAGUAUCUUUUUGACAAGCACACCCUGGGAAAUAGUGAUAAUGAGAGCUAAGCCUUAGGCUGGCUUCCCGUAGCCACAGGGGUGACUUCCCUGGUCACCAAGGCAGUGCAUGCAUAUUUGGGUUACCUUACCUUUUCUGUAAGUUGUACCAAAAUAUCUACAAGUCCUUUCCUUAGUACCAUUCCUUCAAAUAAAGUAAUUUGGUACCC